CCCCGAGCCGCCGCCGCAGCCCGAGCCGCCGCCGCGCCGCGCCAGCUCCCUGGGCCGUGUCGGCCACUGAGCUUGCCCAGCCCCUCCCCCCUCCGGCCACUGACCCCCAACUCCGGCCACUGACCCCAACUCCGGCCACUGACCCCUCAUGGCCACUGACCCCUCAUGGCCACUGACCCCUCAUGGCCACUGACCCCAACUCCGGCCACUGACCCCAACUCCGGCCACUGACCCCAACUCCGGCCACUGACCCC